GAGUGAGGUUUCGUCUCAAAAAAAAAAAAAAAAGAAAAGAAAGUUUUCAAUUUUGAAAUUUCUACUGCUAUCAGCUUUUUAUACUGAAUAUUGUUUAUUUUUGCCUUCUCUUCUUUAUAAAUCAGUUUAUGUCAUUAUUACUGUUAUAUACAAUAUAUGUUUUACAUAAGACAAUAAAUGUCUUUUCUCUCUAGUUGUUUUGUCUCCGGUGUUCCAUGAUAGCACCAUGAUAUAAUAAGAGGCGGGAUAGGCCAGGCAUGGUGCCUCAUACCUGUAUAAUCCAGGACUUUGGGAGGCUGAGGCAGGCGUGAGCCACCGCACCUGGCCUUAUCUCUGCUGUUUAACCCAUUCACUGAAUUUUUAAUUUUAAGGACCAUAUUUUUCAUUUCUAAACACUUGAUUCUUUUCCCAA
rnacentral:lncRNA from 1 species